rnacentral:rRNA from 1 species
CAGUAGCCGCGGUAAUACGUAGGUGGCAAGCGUUGUCCGGAAUUAUUGGGCGUAAAGGGCUCGCAGGCGGUUUCUUAAGUCUGAUGUGAAAGCCCCCGGCUCAACCGGGGAGGGUCAUUGGAAACUGGGAAACUUGAGUGCAGAAGUGGAGAGUGGAAUUCCACGUGUAGCGGUGAAAUGCGUAGAGAUGUGGAGGAACACCAGUGGCGAAGGCGACUCUCUGGUCUGUAACUGACGCUGAGGAGCGAAAGCGUGGGGAGCGAACAGGAUUAGAUACCCCAGUAGUCCCUGUCUCUUAUAC